GAGGAAAAGAGGGGCAGUUUUACGGACCGCGCCUGGGGGGCUGGAGAGGGGCCCGCAGCCGCGGAAAUUCCAGCUCCAAUAGCGUAUAUUAAAGUUGUUGCAGUUAAAAAGCUCGUAGUUGAAAUUCUGAUUGCUCAGGUCCCCAGCCUUUGGCGGGGAUACUGACAGUCAUCCGCUUGCAAAUAUAUGUUCGAUCUUCACCGGUUGGCUAUAUGAGUAAGCAAUUUACCUUGAGAAAAACAGAGUGUUCCAGGCAGGUUUGUCCGGAAUGCAUUAGCAUGGAAUAAUAGAACAUGACUGAAGUCUUUUUAUUGGUUAUAGGCUUUAGUAAUGAUUAAUAGGAACAGUCGGGGGCAUUCGUACUCAGCAGUCAGAGGUGAAAUUCUAAGAUUUGCUGAAGACGAACUAAUGCGAAAGCAUUUGCCAAGGAUGUUUUCAUUAAUCAAGAACGAAAGUUAGGGGAUCAAAGACGAUCAGAUACCGUCCUAGUCUUAACUAUAAACGAUACCGACUCGGAUUCAGAUGAAUCAAAAAGUUCAUUUGGGACCGUAGGAGAAAUCAAAGUCUUUGGGUUCUGGGGGGAGUAUGGGUCGCAAGGCUGAAACUCAAAUGAAUUGACGGAUG
rnacentral:rRNA from 1 species